UACGUAGGGUGCAAGCGUUAAUCGGAAUUACUGGGCGUAAAGCGUGCGCAGGCGGUUUUGUAAGUCUGUCGUGAAAUCCCCGGGCUCAACCUGGGAAUUGCGAUGGAGACUGCAAGGCUAGAAUCUGGCAGAGGGGGGUAGAAUUCCACGUGUGAGCAGUGAAAUGCGUAGAGAUGUGGAGGAACACCGAUGGCGAAGGCAGCCCCCUGGGUC
rnacentral:rRNA from 1 species